GAUGAUGAACUACAGGGCUGAAAACCUGUACUAAGUUAUAAGCAAUUGGUUUUUAGGGAAAGUUUGGAUGAUCCUAAUGGGAUAGAGGAUCUCACAAAUGCAUGUAUCAGAUACGAUACAAAUGGCUAUAUAGGAAUAAGCUAAAAGCUGUACAUUUAAACUUGUGUUGUUUUUUUUUACCCAUUUGAAUAGACUUUAGACCAUUUCCUCAUCGCUGGUUGCUAAUCAUAUCAUCAUCGGUCUAUCUUCACUAGUUAGGAAGUUAUUUUGAGCAGUUUCUGGUGGAGGAACUCCUUCUGGGUGAGCAGCAUGCUCCAGGCCUGAGGCAUUUCUACAUGGAGCACACAGACCCUCUGUGCCCAGUCAUGACCAGAGCAGACAAACAACAUUUGCUAAUCCCCCAUCGCUAUGGAAACCAACAUGCGGUGCUUUCCUAAACCAUAGCUGAACUGAUGCACCAGAAGAGGGCUCGAGGAAGGAGGAACCUUCAAUCCAUGACAAAACAAAGGCCUGGAUGUUUCAUCAGGCUGCAUAUUACUGUAUGAAGUAAAACUGGGUUAAAGAGACCGUCUUCUUCAUGAGGAAAUUGUAAGACGAGUUCCAGGAGGAUGACCAUGAGCAGAUAUGGGAAACCCCUGUAAGACGCAAUUACUCAGACGGCCAGCACGCCACCACACGCCUAAGCCUGUGUGGUGUGAAACUUGGCAAGCUGGGAAGAAAGAGAGAUGGGCCGAGAGACAGUGGGUGAAUGGUAGGGAGAGGAAGAGGAGGCUGGGAUUCAACCCAAAGUUUCAUGAGCUUGAGGAGCCAGAACAAGUGUUAUAUCCGAGUGCAGGUGGGCCAGCCAGAGCUCCAGCUAUGAUCUGGCCA